CCUACGGGCGGCUGCAGUGGGGAAUAUUGGACAAUGGGGGGAACCCUGAUCCAGCCAUGCCGCGUGUGUGAAGAAGGCCCUCGGGUUGUAAAGCACUUUCAGUGAGGAAGAACGCCUGGUGGUUAAUACCCAUCAGGAAAGACAUCACUCACAGAAGAAGCACCGGCUAACUCCGUGCCAGCAGCCGCGGUAAUACGGAGGGUGCGAGCGUUAAUCGGAAUUACUGGGCGUAAAGCGCGCGUAGGUGGCUUGAUAAGCCGGUUGUGAAAGCCCCGGGCUCAACCUGGGAACGGCAUCCGGAACUGUCAAGCUAGAGUGCAGGAGAGGAAGGUAGAAUUCCCGGUGUAGCGGUGAAAUGCGUAGAGAUCGGGAGGAAUACCAGUGGCGAAGGCGGCCUUCUGGACUGACACUGACACUGAGGUGCGAAAGCGUGGGUAGCAAACAGGAUUAGAUACCCCGGUAGUC
rnacentral:rRNA from 1 species